GAUGAAGAACGCAGCGAAAUGCGAUAAGUAAUGUGAAUUGCAGAAUUCAGUGAAUCAUCGAAUCUUUGAACGCACAUUGCGCCCAUUAGUAUUCUAGUGGGCAUGCCUGUUCGAGCGUCAUUAAGUCCACUUAAGCCCUGCUUAGUGUUGGGAGACUGCUCCAGCGGUGCUACCCUGUAGCUACCCUGCAGCUCCUCAAAGACAGCGGCGGAGUUGUGGUAUCCUCUGAGCUUAGUAACUUGUUCUAGCUUUCGAGUACACCACUUCCCCUGCCGUAAAACCCUUAAUUUUUAAUGGUUGACCUCGGAUCAGGUAGGAAUACCCGCUGAACUUAAGCAUACAAUAAGCGGAGGA
rnacentral:misc_RNA from 1 species